AAUCCAUGCUUCCAAACCAAACACAUACGUAAGUCACUCAUGCAAUUGCGUGUUGAAUUAUUAACAAAUUUUAAGAUUUUGUUUUGAGAUCACCUCUAGCUCGAAUUCCAAGCAAGGAAUCCAUCCAGAACGAAGAAGGUAUUCAACUUCGCUGGCCAAUUGCUCCCUUGUAAGUGGUGGAAGGUAUGAGAGAGUCUCGAACUUCUUCAUCCCAAGUGUUGGCCAAACCUACACUCCCAUUUUCACACUAAGUAAUUCAGCAUAUACAUAUGAACUAAAGGCUGAUCCAAUCUACUUGUAAUUUGAACUCGAUCUCUAGCUCUAGAAAAAUCCUAGAAUUAUUUUACGGAUUUUAAAAUUCCAUUUUAUUAUUUCUGUUAUUAUUAAUUGUAGUAAGCUAACAACUAGAGAAAUGAAGUUAGAAAAAUGGAG
rnacentral:lncRNA from 1 species